rnacentral:rRNA from 1 species
UACGUAGGUGGCAAGCGUUAUCCGGAAUUAUUGGGCGUAAAGAGCGCGCAGGUGGUUGAUUAAGUCUGAUGUGAAAGCCCACGGCUUAACCGUGGAGGGUCAUUGGAAACUGGUCGACUUGAGUGCAGAAGAGGGAAGUGGAAUUCCAUGUGUAGCGGUGAAAUGCGUAGAGAUAUGGAGGAACACCAGUGGCGAAGGCGACUUUCUGGUCUGUAACUGACACUGAGGCGCGAAAGCGUGGGGAGGCAAACAGGAUUAGAUA